GUGCAUUCAGACACCCAGAACUUCAGGACACCACCAUCCUUUCUGGUUUGUUUUAAAUACCCCACUUUCAUAGCUGCAGUUUUCUAGAUUUUCUCUCGAUGUAUCACCAGAGACAAGGACCUUUUGAUGGUAAUCUUGAAUUAAAACAUCAUUUCCAUCCGUUCUCCACACUAAACAGAAGCCAGCCCUUGGGAUUCAAAAGCUGCAUUUUCUAGAAGUCACUACAGGCAAUAACCAAAAGAUGUUAUCCAGAAUAUUCCUCAGCUGGCAACCACCCCUGGGGAAGGAAAAUCCCUUGGGAUCAGCCUGCCCGGGAGCUGCCAGUGCUUUUGGGAGCCACCAGCACAGCUGUGAAUCCUGUGUGCACAAUAAUCAAUCCCAGUGAAGGCUGCAGUGGGGAUUCCGUCUGGAAAUGGAUUUGGGAAGCACAGGUGGAAAACCUCAUGGCACAAACCCCUGUGCCUUCAUUUUUGCAAAGCAACAACUUGCUGGUGCUGGAGGAAGCCCACAGGUGGGUGCUGCUGAGUUUCACAGGGAUUGCCUUCCCACAGCUCCCAUAAAACAGAAUCACAGCAUCAUUGAGGCUGGCAAAGACUCUCAGUCUGUUUCCCAGAGCCCCUGGAGGAACAAAGCACGAGGUGAGGACUUGCUCAGUGAAAGCAUUCAAGUGAUUUUAAUUUUCGUGUUCGUGCAAAAGGAAAAAAAAAAAAAAAAUAAGAAGAGUGAAUCCCAUCGCCAGCUGCUGGAAACACUGGAGGUUUUGAAUGUCACACCAAGAACUGGAAGAGCCUGUGGGGCUGCUGCUCUGAUUGAGCCCAUUUGUACCUGUAUCACAAAUGAGCUGCCCUCCCCACUGAAAGGGCAUUUACCAGUGGUUAGGAUUUAACCACUGAAAAGAGAAAAGCAAUUUUCUCACCCUUCUAUGCUGCCUUUCCUCUCCUCCUCCUCCUCCUUUUAUUGCACACACCCCUCCCCAAAUUUUAGUCACUAUUGGUGUUGCCAGAAUAUCUGCAAUGAUGUCCUUCUAUGCAGAGUGUAAAACAAUUCCUCUAGUAAAUGUUACAGCAGCCAUAAAACAGAAAAAUAAAAUAACACCAAGAAAUGCUACCAAUAAAAAUCUGUGCAAAAAUUAAAUAUUGGUGCAUGAGACAGGAAAGGGCCUGAAUCUGAGUGUUUUAUAGAGAAACCUGGAAGCUAUUCCAGAGAAGAUGGGCGAGGAGUAAAAUUUAUCAAAUGUUGCUGGGAUAAUUAAACCAGAACAGACAGGAAACAAGAUGUUUGACCAAAGGGAAUGUAAGUGAAUGGAUCCAGCCCUUUCUAUGCUUCCCAAAUCAUGGCCCUUCUGGGCUUAGGUGAUCCCAGAGUGUCACCCUGCAAAUGAUUUUCAGCUAAUGCUGAGACUGGUGUUUCCAUGACAAGUGCCUGGGCAGGGGGAAUUUAAUUUGUGCUGCUGUAUAAGAGAUGGGGAUUCAGUCUUUGGGAUCAGCACAGAGGCUCUCCAGAGUGGGAGAAAAAAAAAAUACAAAUUUUGUAAAAAAUAUAUAAAUAAGUAAACAAAAAGAAAGCAGAAAGCCUGCAGUGCUACCACCACCAGAACAUUUUGCUUGGAGAGCUGUGCUG
ensembl:lncRNA